UACUCCUACGGGAGGCAGCAGUGGGGAAUAUUGGACAAUGGGGGCAACCCUGAUCCAGCCAUGCCGCGUGAGUGAAGAAGGCCUUCGGGUUGUAAAGCUCUUUUGGCGGGGACGAUGAUGACGGUACCCGCAGAAUAAGCCCCGGCUAACUUCGUGCCAGCAGCCGCGGUAAUA
rnacentral:rRNA from 1 species